rnacentral:tRNA from 1 species
UAGCUCAUUGGUAGAGCGGUCGAUUGUUAACCGAUUGGUCGUAGGUUUGAAUCCUAU